rnacentral:rRNA from 1 species
CCUACGGGGGGCUGCAGUGGGGAAUAUUGGACAAUGGGGGGUACCCUGAUCCAGCCAUGCCGCGUGUGUGAAGAAGGCCCUCGGGUUGUAAAGCACUUUCAGUGAGGAAGAACGCCUGGUGGUUAAUACCCAUCAGGAAAGACAUCACUCACAGAAGAAGCACCGGCUAACUCCGUGCCAGCAGCCGCGGUAAUACGGAGGGUGCGAGCGUUAAUCGGAAUUACUGGGCGUAAAGCGCGCGUAGGUGGCUUGAUAAGCCGGUUGUGAAAGCCCCGGGCUCAACCUGGGAACGGCAUCCGGAACUGUCAAGCUAGAGUGCAGGAGAGGAAGGUAGAAUUCCCGGUGUAGCGGUGAAAUGCGUAGAGAUCGGGAGGAAUACCAGUGGCGAAGGCGGCCUUCUGGACUGACACUGACACUGAGGUGCGAAAGCGUGGGUAGCAAACAGGAUUAGAUACCCUGGUAGUC